GCCGCGUUCGUCUAAGGGCUAGGACGCCUCCCUUUCACGGAGGUAAUACGGGUUCGAAUCCCGUACGCGGUACGA
rnacentral:tRNA from 1 species